UAUUGCCUUCUGGUCUGAAAGGCAUAAUGUCUACUGCAAUUGUUUUAGUGCUCCUUAUUUAUGGAGCUCACAGUAUCAUUGUAAAACAAAAGGAGCACUUUUUAUUAAAACCUGGAGAAAACACAGACAUUACAUGUGAACAGGACGGCUCAGAUGAUUGGAUGUAUUGGUACAGACAAACUCACUUGCAGGGGCUGCAAAUGAUACUAUUUUCAAGGCUUGAGAAUAUGGACAUUGAAAAAGAGACUAGCUACGAAAGAUUUUCUGGCACCAGGAAAGAAAAAAAGAGCUUCUAUUUACACAUCAGCAAUGUUCAGAAGAGCGACUCCGCUGUGUACUUCUGUGCUAGCAGUAAACACAGUGCCUUGCCUAAGCAGCGCUAUUACACAAAAACUGCAAAUAAAUAUAUUGAAUAAGUUAUAAGGUUGAGCAGUAGAUGGUACUGUUGAGCAAGAAUGAUCAUUUAGGAGACCAAAAGCACAGACACCAAGGGAUGCUCCAAGGACAGGCUCUGCCACCACCAAGUACUGAAUAAGCAGGCUAAAAAAUAAAUGGACAGAAGAAAAAGUAACUUUCAUAAACUUAAAUGUAGAAAUUUGUACAGUAAAGUAGCUUAGAUUACUUUAGCUUAAUAGAUUUGGGGCCAAAAGAUACACACUUACAAAUGCUCUUCUAUUCAGUUUAAUAUUAAUAUUGUAAACUAAUGUUAAAUAUAGUCUAGAGUUUAGGUUGAGACUGU